AUGCGUUUUCAAUCUCUAGACUAUGUUGCUUUCAAUGAAAAUCUUAGAAAAAGGGUUCCUACCAAUGUUCUAGUUGAUAGAAUUUCUGAACUUAAUAAUGAUUUGGCUAUUCGAAAUAAUGAGCUAGGAUAUUCUCUUGAGUAUAGGCUCACAAAGUUUUGUCAAAAGAAUGCUUAUAAUGAUGAAUUGGUUGUGCAAUACGAAGGGCCGAAGGAGGAACCUAUACCUCCUAAAGUUGAUCUUGGAGACUUUUGUCCCAUUAAAUUCAGCCCUUUUGAUUACUUUUGCUUGCCUCAAAGAAAAGUUGCUGCCGAACGUAGAGAAUAUGAAAUGAGUUUUAAUGUUCUAUCCUAUUAUUAUGGCGACACCUAG
rnacentral:rRNA from 1 species